CUUCACCGUUCCCUCUGCAAGAGUAAAUUAAAGUCUUAACUUCUUAUCUUUAAGACUCCGUGCAGAGUUUCCACGCUGUGGUUUCCGUUUUCCAACUUACCGAAAAAUUGCUUGGCCGUUGUAGAAUUUGUUAGGAGAAUAGUGGCCACCCUGGCUAGUAUCUGCGUCUGGUUAACGCAGACGGAGACGAAAUUGUUAACUUACUGCCUCCCCCAGAGUAUGAUCUAUUACUUGUAUUCUUAAUCUACUUCGGCAAAAAUAGUGCCAGCAUGAGCUACAGGUUUUAGGGAAAACUGUUGAGGAAUCAGGCCUGGAG
rnacentral:lncRNA from 1 species